rnacentral:sRNA from 1 species
AUUUCCAAAUAGGAGUAAAAUGGUCUUUAAAAAAUUAAAUAGAGUAGAAAUAAAAAUAAUUAAAAAAGGUAGAGUUGAAAAGGGGCAUCAUGAAAAGGGCAUUAGAAAGAAUUUUUCAAUUUUUUUUAGUGUUUAAGAUUGUAUAAUUAUAUUAUGAUU